CCUACGGGAGGCAGCAGUGGGGAAUAUUGCACAAUGGGGGAAACCCUGAUGCAGCGACGCCGCGUGAGUGAAGAAGUAAUUCGUUAUGUAAAGCUCUAUCAGCAGGGAAGAAAAUGACGGUACCUGAGUAAGAAGCCCCGGCUAACUACGUGCCAGCAGCCGCGGUAAGACGUAGGGGGCAAGCGUUAUCCGGAUUUACUGGGUGUAAAGGGAGCGUAGACGGCAGUGCAAGUCUGGAGUGAAAGGCGGGGGCUCAACCCCCGGACUGCUCUGGAAACUGUACGGCUGGAGUGCAGGAGAGGUAAGUGGAAUGCCUAGUGUAGCGGUGAAAUGCGUAGAUAUUAGGAGGAACACCAGUGGCGAAGGCAGCUUACUGGACUGUAACUGACGUUGAGGCUCGAAAGCGUGGGGAGCAAACAGGAUUAGAUACCCCUGUAGUC
rnacentral:rRNA from 1 species